rnacentral:rRNA from 1 species
GCGGAUUAGAAAGUCUGGUGUUAAAAGCAAUUGCUUAACGAUUGUAUGCAUUGGAAACUUCUAGUCUAGAGUUUGGUAGAGAGUCCUGGAACUCCAUGUGGAGCGGUGAAAUGCGUAGAUAUAUGGAAGAACACCAGAGGCGAAGGCGAGGACUUGGGCCAAUACUGACGCUUAGGCUUGAAAGUGUGGGGAGCAAAUAGGAUUAGAUACCCUAGUAGUCCACACUGUAAACGAUGGAUGUUAAGUGUCGGAGCGAAUACUUCGGUGCUGCAGUUAACACAUUAAACAUCCUGCCUGAGUAGUACAUUCGCAAGAAUGAAACUCAAACGGAAUUGACGGGGACCCGCACAAGUGGUGGAGCAUGUUGCUUAAUUCGACGGUACACGAAAAACCUUACCUAGACUUGACAUCUUGGGCGAAGCUAUAGAAAUAUAGUGGAGGUCAACCCAAUGACAGGUGGUGCAUGGUUGUCGUCAGCUCGUGUCGUGAGAUGUUGGGUUAAGUCCCGCAACGAGCGCAACCCUUAUCGUUAGUUACUUUGUCUAACGAGACUGCCAACGUAAGUUGGAGGAAGGUGGGGAUGACGUCAAAUCAUCAUGCCCCUUAUGUCUAGGGCUGCAAACGUGCUACAAUGGCCAAUACAAACAGUUGCAAAUCCGUAAGGUGGAGCUAAUCUGUAAAGUUGGUCUCAGUUCGGAUUGAGGGCUGCAAUUCGCCCUCAUGAAGUCGGAAUCACUAGUAAUCGCGAAUCAGCCAUGUCGCGGUGAAUACGUUCUCGGGUCUUGUACACACCGCCCGUCAAACUAUGAGAGCUGGUAAUAUCUAAAACCGUGUUGCUAACCGCAAGGAAGCGCAUGUCUAGG